AUGCUCCAGCCGGGGAUGGAUAUACCUCUGGAAUCACCCGAAGCCCGUUCCCCGCGGGAUGCUCCGCGACAGGAGGCGGGCGGGAGGGGAGAGAAGGAUGGGCGUGAUCCUGCAGGAUUCCAUCGGAGGAGGGGAGGGACACCGCGGGGGCGGGGUGCGCGCCAGUGCGUGUGUGUGUGCACGGCGGUUGUGCGCAGAUGUGUGUACAUGUAUGUGCAAGUCAUGUCUGUAGUCACAGACAUCGAGCUCUGUAUUCAAACUCGUCUGCCUGUGUUCACAUGUGCAUCUGUGUGUUCACAGACACGUCUACGGUGGCGCACAGGUCUUUGCUCACACGCACGUGUCUCUGUGCACACACGUCUCUGUUACGCACACGUGUCACUGUUACACACACAAAUGUCUCUGAUGCACACACACACGUGUCACUGCUACACACACGUGUUUCUGUUACACACAGUGUCGCUGUGCACAUACACGUGUCUCUGUGCACACACACGUGUCACUGUGCACACACACGUGUCAUUACAGACACCUGUUACACACCCACGUGUCACUGUGCACACACACACGUGUCACUUUACACACACAAGUGUCACUGUACACACACACGUGUCACUGUGCACACACACACGUGUUACUGUACACACACACGUCUGUUACACACACACACGUGUUACUGUUCACACACACGUGUCUCCAUUACACACACACACGUGUCUGUUACACACGUGUCUCCCUGUGCUCACACACGUGUCUCCGUUACACACGUGUCCAUGUGCACACACGUGUCUCCCUGUGCUCACACAUGUCGCUCCCCCCGCCCCGCCAUGUCCCCGUGCAGCCGCUGGGGGGCGCCCCGGGCCGUGCGCGCUCCCGCCGCCGCGCCUGUCUCUCUGUGUGUGUGCGUGCGCGCGCACUGCCCCACACUCUCCUUCCCCUCGCCGCCUUCCCGCCCACCGCCUGUCAGCCCCGGCCCCCCCGCCCUCCCCGUAUCCUCUCCCCGCGUCUGCUCCACGCCUUGGGGGGGGGGGGGGGGGGGGGGGGGGGGGGGGGGGGGGGGGGGGGGGGGGGGGGGGGGGGGGGGGG
rnacentral:lncRNA from 1 species